CCGUGCUGAGGGCCUGCCGUGUGCGUCACUAGGGCUCUCUGGAGAGGAACGAGCCCUACUUACAGGUUUAUUUUUUUUUUUCCCCGAGACCCAGAUUUCCUAAAUCCCGACCCAGUUUACAAAUAGCUCCCAGAAGGAUUUCAGCGCCCCCGCCCGAGCGUGGUCUGCGCUGGGGAGCAUCCCUCGGGCGGAGCAGCGCCGUCAGCAGCGGCAGCAGAUGGGGAAAUUCGGCUGCUGAAGCACAGCGCACUUUGCAAACCGCUCCUGCUGGACCCCCGCACUGACCGGCAGCGCCGGUGUGAAAAAGCAGACUUUGGAUUUAAUCUGACAAGAAAUUCGCAUGCUGCACCAUGUGGCAUUCAAUGUCUGAAAAUAGCUCCUUGAUCUUAGAGAAGGGCUUGCAUGUAAGCAUGUUAAAUUUACAAACAGCAAUCAGAAUAAAAGUCACCCCGACAGACAGCAGAAUAGGCCCUAGUAACUGAGUCCACUCCAGGUGAGUAAUGCCAUCAUAUUUUAUCCAUCCCAUCACAGUGAAAGUGAUCCCCACCAGUCCCAAAAACACACCUGAAAAGAGCAGAGUGGUGCCAGCUUUAUCCCCAUCUGACACCAGGGCAUCAGAUCUGUUUGGCUGACAAGGAGUGACAGAAAAAACAUUCAAGGAGAAAUCUUCUACAUUGUUGUUGUUGUUUUGCUCCAUUACUGAGUAUAAUGUAUCUUCUCCUUCAAGAGAAAGGGGGCUUGUAAAGGACUUGGCAGAGCAUUUAAAGUCGAAGGUCCAGGUUAGUUAUACAAGAACUUUGUGUGUGUAUGGUUAACAGAGUCCAUCAUGUGAAAGAAUAAACUUUGCUUGAAAGAACAAAGGUCUGGGAACUGAAGCCUGAAGCCAUCACUAAAGAUUUCUUGAAUUACCACUAUCACUUCCGAAAUGGAUUCACCCCUGCAUGACUGCCUGUCUCCUUGUGUUUCCUUUGUCUUUAAUUUAGCACUCAUGAUACUGUGCUCAUUCUGGAUAGCAGAAAAAGCAAGCUGGAGCUAUUGCAGCUUUUCCUUGGCCCCAGCUAGCUGAUACAUCCAACAUAUGGACAGCAUAUGUUUAGUCAACAGCAGUGAAGAGAUCCUUGCUCUCCACUUCCUGCUCAAUUUUCUGCAGGAAAAUUCCACAUGGCCUUUGCUAGGAAUGCUUUUCCAUGCUCUGAAGCGUGACAUUUAUAGUCAUGCCUGGACCUCUGUUGCAGCUCAUUUUGCAGUCCAUGGUUUAAAAAAAUACCAAAGUACACUUUCUGACAUUUUUCUGGGGCAACCACUAGGUGAGCAGGAGGGUAAGUGGUAACGGGAUGGUAAGCACUGAGAAGCCUGGGAGAACUGUUGGCUGUGGGAGAAACCUUAUUUCAAGACAGCCAAAGCUUUCCAGCUGGUUGAAGUAGUAAAAUUACCCUAUAAUUUCCCCUUAAUUCUGGACAUUUUUUGUAGUAGGUUUUAAGGUUUAUAGAGAAUAAUGCCCAAAUACUCUGAAUGGCACAUCACCGCAAGAAAGAGAAAGCAUCUCCUGUAAUGCUAAACUUGACAGAGUGAGGAAUCUUAUGCUGUACUCACAGGAUUGCAGUGUUGCAGUUAGAAGCACAGCAGUGUCAGUGCAGGCAGCAAGAAAGAAAGACCUUCACUUAGAGAGGGCAAGCAACCCUUACCUCCCACUUUGCCUGUUUAAAGAACUCAGAUGAAUCAACAUAUUCUGCUUGAUUGGUCUCUUGGGUGCAUCUUGGCAACAACUGACUGAGCAAAUUGAAGACAGCAGAAAAGGUUGAUACUUUUCCAGUUUACCACCAGAUGCAACUGAUUUUUUUUUUAAGAUGGUAAAAUAUUUCCAGAUUUGCUAAAACAUGUUUUGAUAUUUAGCCUUUUCAGAAAAUGAGUGUUCUGAACAACAGGAUAAAGCUAACAUGGGCUUUGUUGCAUGGGAUCUUUCCAGUAAAAUACCCCAGCUUCUGUUCUUGGCAGGAUAAUUUGAGAGAGAAACAUGCUCCCUAGACAUGUGCAAAGCUAUGUAUGCACAAAUUACACACAGCAGUGGGCCCCACUGUUCAAACAGUAGGAGCAAAAGCUUAAAAAAAUAAUCACAAAGAUGGCAAACUAUAGCUUGCAUUGCAGAUUGCAUGUAAGGAAAAACAUCCUUGAAAGACUCACUAGGUAAAAAAUGUUUGAAAGAAGAGAGGACAAAAUGCCUGCUGGCUUUUGUGGAUUCCCUUUCUUCAUACAGACAUUUCCAAUGGCUGAGUCAUGCCAGUUUAAUCAGCUUCUACAUACUAAAUCCCCCUCUGUGCCCUGUUUGCUCAUUACUCGGCAUGCAUAAGCCCCUCAGCUCUAUUGCUGGCUAUAUAUACUUCCCUCACUGGCUGGUUUGUUUUUGUGUGGCUGCACAAAGGGCUGUCCUGGCAUAACUGAGGGAGUAAGACAGAAUUGGAAAUAAAUGACAAAUGCAAGAGCUCCUGAACAUCUCUCUAAAGCAGUAAGCAGGUGAGACGUAUUUCACAACAAGAUGACACAUGGAAAUCACCUUUCCCUUGUCACAGGAGGGAAUUUAAGUUCUUAAUUCGUGGUCUGGGAUCCUGUUACAGUCAAGUUCUCUGAAAUUCAGCAUGGUGAGUGGAGGUGUAACUGAGGUCCCAUGACACACAGCUGUUCAGAGACUCUGCUGAACAAUUCAGAGAUCACUCUUGCAAAAAUUUUUAAUGCUGGCAAAUUCACCAGGGUGAACCAAGCCCUGCUGCUUGUCUGGGCACAAAAUCCAAUCUGUUUUUCUCAAACAGCAUUCAGAGCAAAUUGUAAGAUGUCAAGGAUAGCAGCAACUCAGUUCCUCCUAAUUAUCUUUACCUAAUACAAGCUAAUCCUUCACUUUGGGAACAGGUGCAAACAAACACAAAAUAUAAUUAGAAACUCCAAAGUUUAACCCUGAAGGCAGGCCACUACCACUACCCUGGGGUUGCAGCAGGAUGGAAGAACUAAGACGGUUGUAUUUCUGAAGGAUCUGUCAAAUGUUACAUCAGUUAAAAACAUUUGUUUCCAUGAAACUGCCUCUCCUGCAUCUGCUGAUAAGUAAUGUCUGCACCUCGAAGACACCAUUGCUUUGUGGUGCUCACUCUCACACAAUAAGCACUCCUUGUAUAAUCCAUGAAUAAUGAUAUAAAACAGCAGAAUAAUCCCCCUGAAGCCAGUUGCUACCACAGUUAAACUGUUAGUCUAUUAUCUCUCCUCAGGGCUGCCUUUGGGCUCUUAACUGCAGCUAAAACUGAUUUUCCUAGGGAUUAUACUUACAUAAGGACCAGAGAUAGCCUAAAUAUGGAGUGUUUGUUACCAGGCAGACCAAGAGGUAACCAUUGAAGCUCUUCAAAGCAUCUUUGGCAUCUUCAUAGCAACCUUAACAUCCCUAUAUGUGAAUGCUCCUCGAGUACUUGUAAAGGCCACAACUUUGCAAACAAAUAUUUUCCAAAAAAAGGAAAGCAAAAAUAGAAAUAAAACCACUUCCUAAUUAUUUUUCUUUGAUGCUCCAAACAGAUUUAAUUAAAAUAAUAAAAAAAGUUGGUUUCUACUUAGUGGCUUCACUAUAAAAAGAACAGCUAUAAACAGAAACUGAAGCUGUAACGGAACAAGAUGAGCGUUUAAUGUUCUUGCAGUGAACUCCCUUCAGACUACUUUAGCAGAGGCCCAGUCAUCUCUAGUAUUUCUUGAAAUCCAAGUUAAUUGUUUUU